AUCAACCAUUUCUCUAAAUUUUUCAGAUUUGUGGUUAUCUGACCGAUUACUUAAAUUCGCCAUAAAUAAAAAAAAAAAACCCGUCUUUUUUGGGUCAUCCUAGAUUAAUAAACUUCUUUUUCGUUAAUUGUGGGAUUACCUUUGUAUACCUGCAGUCUGUGUACUGAUGAACCAAUAUAAACCUGUUUGUCAUUUUAAUUUAUUAUUACCUAUCUACCAGUACUAGGGUCGACAGUACUGAAGUAUGUUAUGUUACUUGCAAAAAUUCCAGUGUUGCAACAGGUGGUGUUUGAGCUUACUUAUUUGUUUACAACGACAAUAGCAAAACUUAUCAGGUAUCUGGGAGAUUAUUUAUAAUCUAAUUUGCCUAUUUGACGGUGGAAGGAAGAAGCAGCAGCAGAAAUCUGGUAGCAGUCAAUAAUUGGCCAUGGAGAAAUCUAAAUUAGUCAGCUUCAUAGAAGCGGAGGACGACGAGACACAGCCCAACGCCACCUCACCAACUAAGCACCAAACCCCCAGCCACCCUUACAAAUUCAACCCAGCUUUAAUGCGAUGGGGUCUUUAUCGCUCUAAACAGUAUGUGGUAACCCUUAGUCAUCUCAAGCAGAAGGAUAUUUGGAAGCAUCUCUCAUGGUUUGUCCUCACCAUAUUUUUCUGUCUGUUUGUUCUGGGAGUGUGUAGACUUUAUUUUGAAUUUAAUUACAGAUCAAAUUUUACAAGUUAUCCUUUGCCUUACUUGUGUGUGUACCUAUUUAUAUACACUGUAGCCUGUGUGCGGGGAGCUAUUAUAUCAAAAGAUCCUUGUGUUUGGGGGUUAUUAAUGAUAUACUAUAGGGCUGUGGGUCACCGUACAAACUUCCUCUUUGAAGACAAUACACAUUUAAUGGAGGAGUGUGUUGGAUUAGAGGAAAGAGCUGAUGAAGUAAAGGAAACAAAGGGUCUACAAAAACUAGAAACCAAAUCAACGACCAAUCAAUAUGAAGAAGAAAGGAAUGUUACCGGUUGAAGGCGGACAACUUUGGCCUCAUUAGAUCCGCCAUCUUGAUCACAUUAGUAUUUUCAUUUAAAGUUAGAAUGAUUUCUUGGCUUGGGUGUGUUUGUACCCAUUGAUUAUCACCCGAGUUGGUCAAAUGAAAAAUGAGAUCGGGAAGAAAACAUUACCAGUGCGUGAAAAUAACUUUAGCUCAACACAAACAGACAACUGCUUUAAAUUGUGAACAAGAACAUGCAUUUGUAUAACAUUACAUAUUAAUAAAAAUAAUUAUAGUUAUGAGAAAAAUAAUGUAGCGUUAAAUAAAAAAAAAACCCAGACUGUGCAGGUUAUCGUAAAUACUGUAACUACAAACAGGUAACAAAUUAAUCAAAUGAAAGCCUUUUGUGUUUAUACUGUACCUUCGUAUGGAGUACAGUAAGACCUUCACUAUAAUAUGAUGGUGUUGUAAUUAAUGUGUUCCUUAUGCUUGAUACACUAUAGUACUAUAUAUGGACCGAAGAUGAAGUGUGUCGUGUUAUACAUAAGGUUUGGUGAGAGCUGCGUUGAGGUAGGCUGAGUGCAACUGAUUCUUGUGUGUAUUAUGACCAUCCCUUGCUUUUCACUUUUAUGUGUAUGGUAGGUAUGGUACAUUGAAUUAAUUGUUUUCUAAUAGACAACCUGUACUGUAAUGGACCUGUACACAGCUAACUAAUUAUGUAUCUAAGUUAAAAGAAGAGAGAUAUUAUAGGUGUCAGAUAUGAAUGGUGGGUAUUUUUUUUCUUCUAACACUUUGAGAAGCAAGUGACCAAAGUCAGUGAUCAUAAACACAGUAUUUGUAAUAUGAUGAAAUGAUUUUGGUGUAUUGUAUCAGUAAACAUAUGCACCUUUGGUACUGUGAUAAUAAUGUAUUUUUAAGGAACUGAAUGGCCUUACUUUGGGUCUGCAAACAUUGGUACUUUCUAUGCAAUUCUUUACUGGGAGCUAAAAGUUUGUGUACAUGAUAUACUGUACUGUAGUCAUGUAUUGUAUAGUGUUGUGAUAAUAUCAUACUGGUAUUGUUAUAAUUUUGGAGGUGUUUUGGAAGAUGCCUUACAUGAGUGUUAGAGCUCUACUAAUGAGUGACUGACUGAGUCAUGGAUGAAACAAGUUUCUCUCACCAGACUUUGUUGAUGUAGCUCAUAAUAGAUUCUUGGUUACUGUUACUCUUAAAGAUACAAACACUAAUGUUAUAAUUUACAAUCUCACACUGUUGGAAAUUUGUCUAAAAUUGUACAUUGUUCAUUUAGAAUUUAAACAAGUAUUGUAUUAUCAUAGAGAAUUUAUCAAAUAUUUAUAUAUGGUGGUGAGUGUAAACAGUGUUCACCUCCUGGCCUGAGGGUUGUUGGUUUAUUGCCAGGACUAUCCCGGUCCAUCCAGCUGUAAAGGGUACAGUACCACGACCUAUCCUUACAGUCGGGGAAGUGAAUGACUGUACAACUGUCUCCUUACUUACUGAAGACAUAGUACACCCACCUGGACCGUGGCCCAACACCAUCCCUACAGUUCUAAUGAAAACUAUUUUUUAAGAAAAUACAAGUUUUUUUAAAAAUUACUAUUAAGUAGAAUGAAGCAGGACAGUUUAACAUUAAGUGCCAUUUACACUGAUGCUAACAAAAGGGCCCCACACCCUAAAUACUGUACACGGUACUCUCAUAUAAGUGAAGGUAUAUAAUAUGUCGAUGCUAUGUACUGUACUGUACUGUACUGUACUGUACUGUAUUGUACUGUACUGUACUGUACUGUACAUGUGUUAUAUGAAUUAAAUAAAAUUAUCAAUAAUAAGACAAUAAAAUUAAAACAAUUAAAUAAUAAUAAUCUUGCAAGUACUAGUACCUAAUGUUAUACUAUAUAGAACUCAAUCUCUCACAAAAGUGCUGAGCUAUUACACUUGAGUGUUAAUCUGUCUUCAUCUUAACAGCUUGUCCUGUCUUCCUUGUGUUUAACAGACUGCCUUUUUGCUAGAUCAUUGUCAGAGGUACAGUACAGUACCAUACAGUAUGUAGUUGCUGUUUAUACCAUAAACUUGACCAUACACUGUACUGUAUGUAACACAACAAAUAUUUAAAAUGAUGAUCAAAUUCGGGGAAACAGUUUCUCAUGUGAUUUACCGAUACCGUACAUACUGGUUCGAUUUGAUAGAUUCCCAAAUCAGCAAACUUGUUUUGGAUUCUACACAAAUGAACUAUGGAUGUUUCAAGUCCAAAAGUAAAGUAUUUAAAAUAUUGUACCGUACAUGCUUAUUAAUGUGAAAUAAUAUGACUACUGUACACAAAUACUUUUACUGGUCCAUAUCAGAAGGCUAUUUAUGAUUAAUUUAUAAACAAGUACUGUAUAUUAGAGUAUAACAUUCUAGAGGAAAAUAAUUACAGUAUAUCAGCCUUUAAACCCAUACAGGUAGUGAGUGAGUCAGGUUAUUGGUAUUGUAGUGAGGGAGUCAGCAGCUUGACCUUGUUAGUGGUCUGCCAGUCUAAUAUGUACCUAAAGGCUAGAUAUUACAAGAAUACAUGAUGUUUGUUAAGGAUGUUGUCUUAAGUUUAGGUGAAAUAAGAAAUGAUUAUUUUACAGGGUAGUUGGUGGAGUGUAGAUGAAGUAUACUGUACUGUAAUAAGAAGAGAGAAAGAUAUAUGUUUAUGCCUUGGUGUAAAAUGUAUUUAUUCAGGUAGAAGAAAAUUAAAUACAUAAAGAUAUAUUAACUAUUUAUACUAAACAAAAUAAAUCUUUUAUACUUU